GACGUAGGGGGCCAGCGUUGUUCGGAAUUACUGGGCGUAAAGGGUGCGUAGGCGGCGCGGUAAGUCGGGUGUGAAAUCUUGGAGCUUAACUCCGAAACUGCAUUCGAUACUGCCGUGCUUGAGGACUGGAGAGGAGACUGGAAUUUACGGUGUAGCGGUGAAAUGCGUAGAUAUCGUAAGGAAGACCAGUGGCGAAGGCGGGUCUCUGGACAGUUCCUGACGCUGAGGCACGAAGGCCAGGGGAGCAAACGGG
rnacentral:rRNA from 1 species